GCAGUCGUGGCCGAGUGGUUAAGGCGAUGGACUUGAAAUCCAUUGGGGAUCCCCCCGCGAGUCGUUCGAAUCCUGUCGACUGCG